rfam:Homo sapiens chromosome 11, GRCh38 reference primary assembly.
GCCGGGCGCGGUGGCUCACGCCUGUAAUCCCAGCACUUUGGGAGGCGGAGGCGAGUGGAUCACUUGAGGUCAGGAGUUCGAGACCAGCCUGACCAACACGGUGAUACCCCGUCUCUA